AGCAGCCGCGGUAAUUCCAGCUCCAAUAGCGUAUAUUAAAGUUGUUGCAGUUAAAAAGCUCGUAGUUGAAUUUCGGGAUCAGUAUGUUGGUCGUGCUUCGGUACGUACUGUCAUUACUGGUUUCUCCCUUCUGAAGAACCUUGAUGUCAUUAAUUUGGUGUCUUGGGGAAUCAGGACUGUUACUUUGAAAAAAUUAGAGUGUUUAAAGCAGGCUAACGCUUGAAUACAUUAGCAUGGAAUAAUGAAAUAGGACAUCGCAUUCUAUUUUGUUGGUUUCUAGGAUCGAUGUAAUGAUUAAUAGGGAUAGUUGGGGGCAUUAGUAUUCAAUUGUCAGAGGUGAAAUUCUUGGAUUUAUUGAAGACUAACUACUGCGAAAGCAUUUGCCAAGGAUGUUUUCAUUAAUCAAGAACGAAAGUUAGGGGAUCGAAGACGAUCAGAUACCGUCGUAGUCUUAACCAUAAACUAUGCCGACUAGGGAUCGGAUGAUGCUGAUUUUUUAAUGACUCA
rnacentral:rRNA from 1 species